GGGACAGCAGGGCAGCCAGGGCUAGAGGAGCCUGAGGGGCCAGGUCAGGGUGGCCCUGGGGACACUGCCUCUACCUGUGACCAGCGCUGCUGCGGGGAUCUGGGCAUGAGACCCCUUCUCCCAGGAGGGGAGGCGCGAGACACACGGACAUCGGGAACGGACAGAGCAAGGACAUGCAGUUGCAGCCUUUUCAGCAGAUGCCCUAAGAAUGGAAGGUCAAGAGUUGGAGCAAACGGUCAGUUCUGACAGGGCCUCAGACCUAAGGCAGGAGCACCCCCUAUGCCAGACCUCCUGGGUCACAGGAUAUGCACAGACAUCGGGAAGGGAUGGAGGAUGGAUGAAGGACGUGCAGUUGCAGCUCUUUCUGCAGAUGCCCUGAGAGAGGAGCAAGAAGGUCCUCGCCAGAUGCUCCUGGACUUGUUUUGGACUUUCCCUUGCUCUUGGACUUGCUCUGGCACCUGUGCUCUUGGAC